UUUAUUUAUUUGAGAGGCAGAGUUACAUAGAGGCAGAAGCAGAGAGAGAGAGAGAGAGAGAGAAAGAGAAAAAGUCUUCCAUUUGAUGGUUCACUCUCCAAAUACCUGCAACUGCCAGAGCUGGGCUGAUCUGAAGCCAGAAACCAGGAGGAGUUUCCUCAGGGUCCACCAUGCAGGUGCAGGGGCCCAAGGACUUGGGCCAUCUUCUACUGCUUUCCCAGGCCAUAGCAGAGAGCUGGAUUGGAAGUGGAGCAGCCAGAAUGCAAACUGGCACCCAAAUGGGAUGCCACCACUGCAGGCGACGGCAUUACCUGCUACAGCACAGCACCAGCUCCCCCAAAUUUAAUAUUCUUUAAAGAAAAUUUGUAGCAACUUCGUGGUGAAAAACCAUUAUUUUUGCACAUGUUUUUGAUUUCUUUACUUUCAGUGUACUCAAUUAAGCAUUUUGAGAAUAUGCCAUUGAUUAUUCCAAGGCAGAUGUACAUCCGGGAUAACUCUUGGGUAUGUCAUGAAUCAUCAUCAUCCUGGAAACAGCCACCUACAUGUAAAUUCUCUUUUCUUUAUUUUAUAACCACAGAAUGUGUAAAACCAGAAACCACAAUUCACAUAUCCUCAUUCAAACAAGACCAUGCUGGACGAAGGCUCCUGGAAAAGUACAUGGCCAUGACUCAGUUUCAAACUGGGCCAAACUGCCUUAGUUCAGUGUCACUAUAGACUUGAAGAAGCAUGUACACCAUCCCCUGAGCAGCGUGCUUCUCUCACGGAUGCGAAACUACUCUGCUCCAUUCUCAAGAUUCAUGUACAGAAGAAGAAAAGAAAACCUCAUGUUUAGGAGUUUACUUCUUUCAGUGUUACUUAAUGAGGAUGAAACCACUUCAAAAUGCCAGAGUGAAUCUCCCUGCAAACCGGGAAGGAUUGGGAAACUUGAAGGGAAGAAGUGUGUCACCCUCAUUUUCCAUCAGUGGCACAGGGCAGAAUGACUGACACACAGUGAGUGAUUAAUAAAGAGCAGCACAGUUAGUAUUUCCCAGUUUUGUGACCAUCACUCAAGUGUUAUAGUUCCCAGCUACACUGAUUUGUCUGCCUUUUCAAUCAUAUUAAACUUAUACCACAAAACCUUAUUUUUGAUAGUAUGUUCUAGAAAAGCUAUUAAGAAUUUUAAAAUAUUAAUCCUAGGAGAAGAAACCUCAAUCCUUGGAUAAGAAACCCAAAACACAGGCAAAACAAAGUUAAAAUUGACCAGUGGGUUGUAUCAAAUUAAGAAUUUCAUUUCUGCACAGCAAAGAAACAGUCAUUAGGUUGAGAAACAACAGACAGAAUGGGAAAAAUAUUUGUAAUUUCAUCAGAUAAAGGCUUCAUGUAAAGAAAUAUGUAAGGAACUGAAAAAUCAUAUCUCACCAAUAACAAAACAAAUAAUCCAUUAACAAAUAUGGGCAGACAGAAGGGACAUUGUGGCACAGCAGAUUCUCCACUUCUGAUCCAGCUUCCUGCUUAAGUGUACACUGAGAGGCAGCAGAAGAUGUCCCAAGUGCUUGAGUCUCUGCCACCCAAAUAGAAAACCUAGAUGUAGUUUCUGGCUCCUGGUUUCAGCCUGACCCAGCCCCAGAUAUUGCAGGCAUUUGGGGUGUGAACCAGAAAAUACAUCUCUUUCAUUCUUUCUUGCUUUGCCUUUCAAAUAAAUGAAAAUUAAUAAACUUUAAAAAAAGAGUGACUACAUAUUCUAUUGGGUCAGAGGUCAGAGAGGUUCCACAUAUGUUUUUAAAAAGUGGGAAGAUGAUCUGAAUAGAUAGUUCUCCUAAGGAGAAAUAUAAACAGCCAAGAUUUAUAUGAAAAAUACACAGUAUCACUUGCCAAUAGAGAAAUGCAAAUCAAAGCCAAAAUGAAGGGGCUGGUGCCGUGGCAUACUGGUGUAGUUGCCACCUGCAGUGCUGGCAUCCCAUAUGGGUGCCGAUUCCAAGUCCAGGCUGCUCUAUUUCAAAUCCAGCUCUCUGCUGUGGCCUGGCAAAGCAAUGGAAGAUGGCCCAAAGGUACCCAGAAGAAGCUCCUGGCUCCUGGCUUCAGAUCGGCACAGCUUGGCCAUUGUGGUCAUCUGGGAAGUGAACCAGCAGCAGAUAGAAGAACUCUCUCUCUGCCUCUCUAUAACUCUGCCUUUCAGAUAAAUAAAUAAAUUUAAAAAAUUUUUAAAACACACAAUGAAGGGCCGGCGCAGCAGCUCACUAGGCUAAUCCUCUGCCUUGCGGCGCCGGCACACCGGGUUCUAUUCCCGGUCGGGGUGCCGGAUUCUGUCCCAGUUGCCCCUCUUCCAGGCCAGCUCUCUGCUGUGGCCAGGGAGUGCAGUGGAAGAUGGCCCAAGUGCUUGGGCCCUGCACCCCAUGGGAGAACAGGAUAAGUACCUGGCUCCUGCCAUCGGAUCAGCGCGGUGCACCGGCUGCAGCACGCCGGCCGCGGUGGCCAUUGGAGGGUGAACCAACAGCAAAAGGAAGGCCUUUCUCUCUGUCUCUCUCUCUCACUGUCCACUCUGCCUGUCAAAAAAACCACACACACACACACACACACACACACACAAUGAAGUAUCAUCUCACCUUAGUUAGAAUAGCUAUCAAAAAAGCCAAAAUUAAUACUUUAAAGGAUUUGAAGAAAAUGGAAAACUUACAUACUGUUGUUAGAAAUGUAAAUUAACACAGCCAUUAUGGAAAACAGUGUGAGGAUUCCUCAAACCACUAGAAAUAGAAUGAGCAUAUAAUUUAGCUUUCCCAGUACUGGGUAAGUUUUCAAAGAACAUGAAAUCAGCUUAUCAAAGAGAUACCUACAAUCCAAUGGUCACUGCAGCACCAUUCAUAACAGGCUAGAUAUGGAAUCAACCAAGGUAUCCAUUUCUGGAUGAAUGGAUUAAGAAAAUGUGAUAUAUGUAUGUACACAAAGGAAUAAUAUUCAGUCAUAAAAAUAAUGAAAUUCUGACAUUUGCAAUAAAAUGCAUAGAACAGGAAGAUGUUAUGUUAAGCAGAACAGACAAAUAUUGCAUGUUCUCUCUCAAGUGUAGAAGCUAAAAACACUGAAAAUGGUAGUUAUUUCUAGAAGCUAGGAAGAAUGGAGGAGAAGAGGGGUAGAAGGACCUUGGACAAUGGGUAUCAAAAUAUAUUUAGGUAGGCGUAAUAAGUUUUAUUGUUGUAAAACAAAGUAAGGUGACUGUAGUUCAUGCUAACCUAUUAUAUAUUUGAGAAGAACUAAAGGACAGGCAUUUGAAGCUUCCAAAUGUAAGGAAAUGAGGAGAUGAAAAUGUUAAUUAUCUCAAUUUGAUUAUUACAGAUUGUGCACAUGUAUUACAUGUAUGAAGACAUCACAGUUUUCCUCACAAGUAUGUAAAAAGUUAUGUGCAAUUAAAGUAAUAAGAAAGCAGUAUUUUUUAAAGAUUUAUUUUAUUUAUUUGAAAGACAGAGUUACAGAGAGAGGUAGAGACAGAGAGAGAGAGAGAGAGAGAGAGGUCUUCCAUCCACUGGUUUACUCCCCAGAUGGCUGCAACAGCCGGAGGUGUGCCGAUCCAAAGUCAGGAGCCAGGAGCUUCUUCCGCGUCUCCCACGUGGGUGUAGGGGCCCAAGCACUUGGAUCAUCUUCCACUGCUAUCCCAGGCCAUAGCAGAGAGCUAGAUUGAAGAGGAGCAGCCAGGACUAGAACUGGCGCCUAUAUGGGAUGCUGGGGCUGCAGGCCAGGGCUUUAACCCUCUGGCCAUAGUGCCAGCCCCAAGAAAGCAGUAUUGAGCAUCUUCUGAAGCCAAUGAUGAUUAUUGUUUAAAUAUCAGUGAUGCCCACUUAUCAUCCACCUACUAUGAGCCAGGCAUGUGCUAAAUGUCUCACAUACAGCGUUCCAGAAUAACAAUGACUGCUAUCAGCUCCCUGUUGCCUUCAUUUCCAGACAAAAGUACAAAGGCUGUUGAAAACACAAACUGAGCUGAGAGUUCCUGGAAGUCGGUUAUGAGACAGAAGCCCACACGUUUCUAUGGCCCAGCUUCUCUGCAUAUGCAGGAAUGAUUCAUAUUUGAGACCUCUCUGGUGAGGAAGAUGAAUUUGCCACCCUGUGCCCCACAGGAAGGCAAUGGCUUUGGUUUUUGUAGUAUUUCCCUGUGUAACUGCCUGAAGAGAAAAAAGACACACUUAUCUGGGAGAAAGGGAUACAUUUCUUCAUGCAUUCCUUUAUCCACUAAUUCUGUCACUAAUUAUUAUAUGGAGAAGCAUAAGAUAUUACUCUAUAGCCUCAGUAAGAAUAUGACAGGAAUUUAAUUACUGUAAUUUCCAAUUCUUUCCUUCUCUGAUUCGCACCACAUAUUAGCAAGUUUUAUCUAUCCUACUCCCCUAAUGUGUCCCACCUUAACCUGUUACAUUAUACUAUGACUACCUUCAUUCAAGGCCAAGCUGCUGCAGUGUCUUGCCUGUACCACAUUAAUGUUUCUAUCUGCAACCACUCUUUAUCUUCCUGUAGACCAUUUUUCACAUAGCAGCUACGGUGACUUUUGAACUGUAAAUUAGAUUGUUAGAUGUCGUUUCUUAAAAACUCUGUAGUUGUUCACUGUCACACUGAGAGUAAAAUUCACAUAUCUUAUCAAAGGCUCUUUUGGUGUGUUUCCAACCUACCUCUCAGAUGUUAUUUGUGUAUUUUCCAUUUCUCACUUUGUGCCUUGAGCAAGCUCAUUCUUGUCUCAGGGCCUUAGCAUUUGUAGUUCUUUCUGCCUGGAGCUUUAUUUCCCAGGUUCUUUGUCAUGCUGCUUCCUUCUAAAAAAAUGAGAAAACUUCAAAAAUUCAUGAAAAAUGUAAUUAAAUGAUAAGCUUUAGGGAUGGACAUUUGACCUAGCAGUUAAGAUACUCAUUCCAUAUCAGAAGGCCAGUGUUUGAUUCCUGGCUUUGUGCACAAUUCCAGCUUUCUGCUAAUGCAGACCAUGGUAGGCAACAGGUAAUGGUUCAAGAAGUUGUAUCCUUGUCACCCACAAGGGAGACCCAGACUGAAAGUUCCACUCCCAAUUUUGGCCUGGGCUAUCCUCAGCUGCUGCUUGUAUUGGGGAAUGAACCAGCGUGUAACUGGGAGUUCUC